UACGUAGGGGGCGAGCGUUGUCCGGAAUUAUUGGGCGUAAAGAGCGUGUAGGCGGUUCGGUAAGUCUGCCGUCAAAUCCCAGGGCUUAACCCUGGACAGGCGGUGGAAACUACCAAGCUGGAGUACGGUAGGGGCAGGGGGAAUUUCCGGUGGAGCGGUGAAAUGCGUAGAGAUCGGAAAGAACACCAACGGCGAAAGCACUCUGCUGGGCCGACACUGACACUGAGAGACGAAAGCUAGGGGAGCGAAUGGG
rnacentral:rRNA from 1 species